CCAACCCUUGAUCUUAGUUCCCACCAUUCAGUUGGGCACUCUAAGUUGACUGCCGGUGACAAACCGGAGGAAGGUGGGGAUGACGUCAAAUCAUCAUGCCCCUUAUGACCUGGGCUACACACGUACUACAAUGGCCGGUACAACGGGAAGCGAAGUCGCGAGAUGGAGCGAAUCCUUAGAAGCCGGUCUCAGUUCGGAUUGCAGUCUGCAACUCGCCUGCAUGAAGUCGGAAUUGCUAGUAAUCGCGGAUCAGCAUGCCGCGGUGAAUACGUUCCCGGGUCUUGUACACACCGCCCGUCACACCACGAGAGUUUACAACACCAGAAGUCGGUGGGGUAACCGCAAGGAGCCAGC
rnacentral:rRNA from 1 species